rnacentral:rRNA from 1 species
AACGAACGCUGGCGGCAUGCCUAACACAUGCAAGUCGAACGAGACCUUCGGGUCUAGUGUCGCACGGGUGCGUAACGCGUGGGAACCUGCCCUUAGGUUCGGCAUAACUCCCCGACAGGGGUGCCAAUACCGGAUAAUGUCUUCGGACCAAAGAUGUAUCGCCUUGGGUUGGGCCCGCGUGGGAUUAGCGAGUUGGUAGGGUAAAAGCCUACCAAGGCGACGAUGCAUAGCUGGUCUGAGAGGAUGACCAGCCACACUGGGACUGCGACACGGCCCAGACUCCUACGGAAGGAAGCAGGGGGGAAUGAGGGACGAUGGGCGAGAGCAUGAUGCAUCCAGGUCGCGAGAGUCAGGAAGGCCUGAAGAUUGUAAAGCUCUUUUACACGGGAGGAUAAUGACAGUACCGGAAGAAUAAGCUCCGGCUAACUACGUG